GACGAACGCUGGCGGCGUGCCUAAUACAUGCAAGUUGAGCGAUGAAGAUUGGUGCUUGCACCCAUUUGAAGAGCAGCGAACGGGUGAGUAACGCGUGGGGAAUCUGCCUUUGAGCGGGGGACAACAUUUGGAAACGAAUGCUAAUACCGCAUAACAACUUUUAACAUAAGUUUUAAGGUUGAAAGAUGCAAUUGCAUCACUCAAAGAUGAUUCCGCGUUGUAUUAGCUAGUUGGUGAGGUAAAGGCUCACCAAGGCGAUGAUACAUAGCCGACCUGAGAGGGUGAUCGGCCACAUUGGGACUGAGACACGGCCCAAACUCCUACGGGAGGCAGCAGUAGGGAAUCUUCGGCAAUGGACGAAAGUCUGACCGAGCAACGCCGCGUGAGUGAAGAAGGUUUUCGGAUCGUAAAACUCUGUUGGUAGAGAAGAACGUUGGUGAGAGUGGAAAGCUCAUCAAGUGACGGUAACUACCCAGAAAGGGACGGCUAACUACGUG
rnacentral:rRNA from 1 species